rnacentral:misc_RNA from 1 species
GGGAGACGGAAUUCGAGCUCGCCCACUCUUGGAUCGGAAACCCGUCGGCCUCCGAACGGUAAGAGCCUAGCAUGUAGAACUGGUUACCUGCAGCCCAAGCUUGCUGCACGUCUAGGGCGCAGUAGUCCAGGGUUUCCUUGAUGAUGUCAUACUUAUCCUGUCCCUUUUUUUUCCACAGCUCGCGGUUGAGGACAAACUCUUCGCGGUCUUUCCAGUGGGGAUCCAAUAUC